rnacentral:rRNA from 1 species
GCCUAGCCCUAAACCUUGGUAAUAUAUCACAUACCCUACCCGCCUGGGAACUACGAGCACCAGCUUAAAACCCAAAGGACUUGGCGGUGCUUUAGACCCCCCUAGAGGAGCCUGUUCUGGAACCGAUAACCCCCGUUCAACCUCACCCUUCCUUGUUUAUCCCGCCUAUAUACCGCCGUCGUCAGCUUACCCUGUGAAGGCCUAAAAGUAAGCACAACUGGCACAACCCAAAACGUCAGGUCGAGGUGUAGCGCAUGGAGGGGGAAGAAAUGGGCUACAUUCCCUAUGUUAGGGAACACGAACGGCGCACUGAAACACGCGCCUGAAGGAGGAUUUAGUAGUAAGCGGAAAAUAGCGUGUUCCACUGAAAUCGGCCCUGAAGCGCGC